rnacentral:rRNA from 1 species
GCUGGCGGCGUGCCUAAUACAUGCAAGUCGCGCGAACGGACGAGAAGCUUGCUUCUCUGAUGUUAGCGGCGGACGGGUGAGUAACACGUGGAUAACCUACCUAUAAGACUGGGAUAACUUCGGGAAACCGGAGCUAAUACCGGAUAAUAUUUUGAACCGCAUGGUUCAAAAGUGAAAGACGGUCUUGCUGUCACUUAUAGAUGGAUCCGCGCUGCAUUAGCUAGUUGGUAAGGUAACGGCUUACCAAGGCAACGAUGCAUAGCCGACCUGAGAGGGUGAUCGGCCACACUGGAACUGAGACACGGUCCAGACUCCUACGGGAGGCAGCAGUAGGGAAUCUUCCGCAAUGGGCGAAAGCCUGACGGAGCAACGCCGCGUGAGUGAUGAAGGUCUUCGGAUCGUAAAACUCUGUUAUUAGGGAAGAACAUAUGUGUAAGUAACUGUGCACAUCUUGACGGUACCUAAUCAGAAAGCCACGGCUAACUACGUG